rnacentral:lncRNA from 1 species
UUUAUUACAGAAUAUUUCUGGUAACAUCCUGUCAAAGGUGGCACAAUUUCAGCAUAGCUGUCAGCGCGGUAAGACAUAUCUCCUCCUCUGGCAUGCUGAGGAUGGGGGGAAAGCAGGAGAGGUAUUCACGGAGGUGGCAGUGCAUUUCAGAAUGAAGAGGUUUGCAGUUGGUUUCGUUUUUUUUUUUUAAGGGCAGCUGAGGGAAAUCUAGCUUCCGGGAGUUUGAGAUACAUCACCUCAGAGGCAAUAUGCAGGGUGAAGGUGAGCCUGAGCAGGCAUCUUUCUGAAGAGGCUGUAACCGGGCAUGAACUUGUACAAGCCCGUUCAGCGGCAACUGGGCAGAAGGAGGGGCUGUAGCUCCCGCAGCGGUGGGAGCCGCAUCUGCAGAGGAAGGGGGAAUGCCUCCAACACCAACAGCUCCCUAGCGUGUGCGAUGAUAAAAGGAAACCAGAUUGUCCGUGAGACUCCGUGUUUUAGGAUAAAGAGGCCCAGAAAGACUUAGAGGCUUUACUUCUCACACUGAAGCUGUGAUACUAUGCACUUUUAACUCUUCAUGCUGUGAUAAAGUUGCAGAAUCAAAAUGGGAAUCUGUAAUCACUGGGGACUGCAGGUAAAUUCCUGCUAGGCCGGUGGGAAACCUGUCAUUGAUUUCAGCGAGUUUGGAUCAUGGCCUUUAAGUACCUGGCAAUUAUGAUAUGAAAAUGAUGCAUUAAUUUCUUUGAAUAUUUAUAAUUCUUGUAUUUAAGUUUAAUUUUAGAUUGUUGACACUGUGAGUUUGAUUCUCUGAACAUGAAGUCCACUGCUGGCAAUGGACAUGCUGGGAGUUAGAGUGCAAAUUGCAUAAAUCUUACUAUUUGAAAGAUUAACCAGCUUAAAUGCAAUGCCAGCACAGAACUGCGUGUAGCAAAAACAAAAAAUAUAUACUUUUUAUUUCUAGAGUAAGUUAUAUUUGUAUCAACUGAUCUGCACAGAUGUAUGGAAAGGGAAAUCAUGAAUGUUUUGUUUACACAUUUACUCUUAAAAAAUUAGAAUCUUGUUGAAGUUAAAGAACAAGCUGUUGCCUCCACAAAGCUCUUUUUACUUUAAAUCUCCUGUUUGUUUUACAUGGAAAUAUGAAAACUUUAUAAAUUAAAUACUGAAGUUAUAUUUUAUGUUAUUUGUAACCUCAACAAGUAAAA